rnacentral:rRNA from 1 species
UACAGAGGGUGCGAGCGUUAAUCGGAAUUACUGGGCGUAAAGCGCGCGUAGGCGGCUUGCAAGUCGGGUGUGAAAUCCCCAGGCUCAACCUGGGAACUGCAUUCGAGACUGCAUUGCUAGAGUAUGGGAGAGGGAAGUGGAAUUUCCGGUGUAGCGGUGAAAUGCGUAGAUAUCGGAAGGAACAUCAGUGGCGAAAGCGACUUCCU